GGAUGGUGAGGUGGGUUUCCCUUCCUCCAUCACUGCUCAGUAUGUGUCCCUCCUGGACCAUUCUUUGUUCAAGGGUAUAGGAAUGGGUGUUCAACCCUGCUAGAACCUCCAAACAAGCUCUCAGUGUCCAGGUCUAGGAGACAAUAGGAUAGUUAAGCUUCUAAGACGCCAGACAUAUCCAAAUGAGGUGCUGCAUGUGGCCAUCUGCUUUU
rnacentral:sRNA from 1 species